rnacentral:lncRNA from 1 species
CCGACGCCUACAACUAAACCAUUGGACUGGGAUGAGCUUCAUUUCCCUUCCGUCUUGUUUGGAUAUAGAAGGGUAUUGUGUACGGAGAUUGGGUUUUCUCUCCCCUUUUUUUUGUUUUCAUACAAAAUAAAAUAAAGCUGCUCUAAAGCAGCGUGCGGUUUUUGGACUCGAGAUGGUAUGAGUAUAUGUACGUGCUGUCCUUGUGUGAUUAUGUAUACCGUCAUGGUUUUCUUUGUGGGAAGAAAAAGGACAUUCUGUUUUAGAAUCCUAUGCAGGUUUGACUGAGAAUAAGGAAUUUUGCUUGCUCUCUUCGUUAUAAAAAUAAUUAUUCCUAUAUUAUUCGUGCUGAUUAAAAAAAGUUUUUAAAGUUUAACUAUAUUUAUAGAAGAUAUUAGCAAUGUUUGUAUUUUUAAAUAAUUUAUUAUGAAAAACAGGUUUACAGAUCCAUCUAAUUGUACUAAUUAUGUAUUAUAAAUACUAUAAUUUUCCUGUAUACAUUUAUUUAAAUUUAAAUAUAAUUAUCUUUUAAAAAUGCCAAGUUUUCGAGAAAUAAAUGUCAUCCUAGCACGCAAUCUGACAGCCACUGAAGUGUAACAUAGUAGCAUCAGACAAUCAGAUGUCACUCUCUCUGUCAAAAAAAAGCAACUGCAAAAUUUAUACCAAUCAAACUAACUUAACUUUGAUUAAAUUUGUUAAAAAUAUUAUUAAGAUACAUGUCAGUACUUAUUUAUAGGACUUUACUAGGUGAGUACCCGUGCGUUGCAACGGGAACAUAUAAUAACAUAGUAACUUAUAUACAAAAUGUGUCUUAUAUUGUUAUAAAAAAUAUUUCAUAAUCCAUUUGUAAUCGUAUCCAUACAUAAAUUUUGUUAUUUUAAUUUAGCUGUUUCACUGCUCCAUUACAACCAUCAGUAUCAUGCAGACUUCGAUAUAUGCCACGAUUUGCAUGGUCUCAUCAUUGAAGAGCACGUGUCACACCUGCCGGUAGAAGUUCCCUCGUACAUUGUCAGUCAUCAGGUACGCACCACCAUACACGCUUGCUUAAACAAAAAAGCAAGUGUAUGUGUUUGCGAAGAGAAUUAAAGGCAGGUCGGCACAAAAGCUACCCCGACGAUGGCGAGUGGUCAUUGUUGUCGGUCCUCCUCUUCGUCACCUCUGGUGUCAAGAUGACGCUAUAGUCCUUGAUAUAGUAGUCGUCGAACGCGCACGAUAUGGCGAGUACCGAUGACUCUUGGCUGGACUGUCAAACGAAGUGCACCCCGGGCUCAUCAGCGAGGUAGUACACCUAGCCGUUGCACCACCAGAUGUGCUACUCCUCUACAUAAAUCUUGUACGAGGACACUCACACAACGUUAGCAACGACCGUCGUCCCAUCGCACAAGAAUUCAUGACCGGUCAGUAGUGACUUACGUGGGAGGUUGAGCUUUAGGUGGAUGAUGAGCUGGACGGUGUGACGGCGUCGUUGUCAGAUGCGGUGCCCAGAACAACCAUGAGGUCCCCCUAUUUGAAGAUGGACAGCGCGGUGCAGCCGCUCUAGACCGCGUCCAAGUGGCGGCUACGCCGGAGCUUGCCGAACACAGCGACGCAUGUGGUCACAUAGUACUGCUUCCAGAGGUCGAACUGGCAGUCGCCAAGCUUCUUUUCGUCGUCGAUGAGCGAUGCCAACGCGAGCGCCUCCUGCCAGUGGUGUUUGUUCGAGGUUUCCAAGUAGGAAACAUGGAUUCAUCUUUGGCAUUGGUUUAUGAAAAUGACUCACAAGUCAGAGCCAUGGAAAAAUAUUACGGAGAAUAAAUGUCACACAUAUAAAAAAGAAUUUAAGUUGAAAACAUUAUUCAAACAAAAGAAAUUGCAUGCAAGGCUCUUUUUUAAAUACUACUCCCUCCAUUCAAAAAUAUAAUUCAGGAAUCUCGUUGAUAAUUAUAUACUACUACAUAUUGUGCAAAGGUAGCAGGUGGGCUUUGGGAGAGAUGUAGUAUAUAUUUUUAUUGUAACAAAUAUUGACAUAAACACAUAUGUGGUGUAGUGGUAGCUACGAGCACAUUUGCUUGAGAGGUCGCAGGUUUGAAUCCCAUUGGAGCCACAUUUGUGUUUUUUUAAUUUAAUUUUAGCUACGCGUGGGAUGCACGUGGGAAUGGGAUUUGCGGGGAGGGGGUGAAAGGGAAAUGUGCCCUUGGGCCAUUUCUAAGUAUUUUGGUGAUUUAGUGUCCAACACAAGUGCUUAAGUGUUAAACUAUGCCAAAUGGUGGACAAAGUGCAAAUCAAUACAAAGGUAUGAUUCUAGACUUAGUACAUUGGUUUUUGUGUACUAACAUAUUUGUCUAAGUGCUAGAAUCAGAGAAAAGACAAUUGGAAAAGACUUGGCUCGAGCAGCCAAGACUCUGCUCAGUCUGGGUGCAGCGGACUGUCCGGUGGUGCACCGGACAGUGUCCGGUGCGCCAGGCUGGCUCUAGUGAAAAGGCCGCUCUCGGGAUUUCAUCGGCGGCGUACGGCUAAAAUUCACCGGACUGUCCGGUGAGCCAACGGUCGGCCGCGCAAUCCGCGCGUGACGCGUGGCCGGGCCAACAGUUAGAAGGGGGCACCGGACUGUCCAGUGUGCACCGGACAAUGUCCGGUGCGCCAACGGCUCCAAGUCUCCAACGGUCGGCUGCGCUAGAAUAGGAAAGAAAUCCGCACCGGACAGUGUCCGGUGGUGCACCGGACUGUCCGGUGCGCCAGUCGACAGAAGGCAAGAAUUGCCUUCCUGGAAUGCUCUAAACGGCUCCUAACUGCCUUGGGGCUAUAAAAGGGACCCCUAGGCGCAUGGAGGAAUAUACCAAGCAUCCUUUGAGCAUUCCUAAGCACCAAGACCUCAUUUCCGCGCAUUCGAUUCUUUGUGAUAGCAACUAGAGCUCAAAUUGAGUAGAUAACUCUUCGAGUUGUGUUGAGAGAUCGUGUUGUGACUUGAGUGCGUAUUGCUGCUCUGAUUUUGUGUCUUGUGUGUGUUGCUCAUCCCAACCUUACUUGCGUGCUUCUUUGUGAUAAUCAAAUUGUAAGGGUGAGAGGCUCCAAGUUGUGGAGAUUCCUCGCAAGCGGGAUAUAGUGAAACAAAGCAAAACACCGUGGUAUUCAAGUGGGUCUUUGGACUGCUUGAGAGGGGUUGAUUGCAACCCUCGUCCGUUGGACGCCACAACGUGGAGUAGGCAAGUGUUGGACUUGGCUGAACCACGGGAUAAACCACUAUGCCUCUCUGUGUUGAUCUCCUUAUGGUUAUUGUGUUUUGCAAGAACUCCUCUCUAGCCACUUUGCUUUAUUGUGCUAACUCCUAAUCAAGUUUUGUGGCAUUAAGUUUCAAGUUUUUACAGGAUCACCUAUUCACCCCCCCUCUAGGUGCUCUCAAUUGGUAUCAGAGCUGUUCUCUUCAAGAAAGGGACUAAUCGCCCGAAGAGAUGGAUCCUAAGGGAAAGAGGAUGGUGGUCAACGACAAUGAGAAGGAGUCCAUCUUCAACGAGCCAAGGGAUGGCAAAGUCAAUGACUCCGGCUCAAGUCAAAAGAAGAAAGAUGGAAAGAAGAAGAGGCGCAUCAGGAAGGUUGUCUACUACGACAGUGACGAAUCCUCCUCUUCUCAAAAGGACGAUGAAUACGAGGAGAAAAAGAAAACGGUUAACUCAAACUUUUCUUUUGAUUACUCUCGUAUUCCGCAUAAUUCCAAUGCUCAUUUGCUUUUAAUUCCACUUGGUAAACCUUCUCACUUUGAUGGAGAGGACUACGGAUUUUGGAGUCACAAAAUGCGUAGUUAUUUGUUCUCUCUUCAUCCAAGUAUAUGGGAGAUAGUAGAAAACGGAAUGCAAUUUGAUAGUUCGGAUAAUUCUAUGUUUAUCAAUGAACAAAUCCAUAAGAAUGCAUAAGCUACUACUGUUCUUUUAGCAUCUUUGUGCAGGGAAGAAUACAAUAAGGUGAGAGGCUUGGACAAUGCCAAGCAGAUCUGGGACACCCUCAAGAUCUCACAUGAGGGGAACGACGUCACCAUGCUCACCAAGAUGGAAUUGGUGGAAGGCGAACUAGGAAGGUUCGCGAUGAUCAGGGGAGAUGAGCCAACCCAAACAUACAACAGGCUCAAGACCCUCGUCAACAAAAUAAGGAGCUAUGGAAGCACGCGAUGGACGGACCACGACGUUGUCCGACUUAUGCUAAGGUCUUUCACCGUCCUUGAUCCUCAUCUUGUUAACUCUAUUCGGGAGAAUCCUAGGUACACCAAGAUGACGCCCGAGGAAAUACUUGGAAAGUUUGUAAGCGGGCGGAUGAUGAUCAAGGAGGCAAGAUACGUUGAUGAAGCGUUGAAUGGACCAAUCCACGAGCCUCAAACCGUUGCUCUUAAAGCAACAAGGAGCAGGGAGGCGCUACAUAGCAAGGUGGCGCAAGUUGAGGUGGCCGGGCUUAACGAAGAAGAAAUGGCCCUCAUCAUCAAGCAUUUCAAGACGGCACUCAAAGGUCGCAAGGAGCAUCCCAACAAGAGCAAGACGAAGGGAAAGCGCUCCUGCUUCAAGUGUGGUAAGAUUGGUCAUUUUAUUGCUAAUUGCUCCGAUAAUGAUAGUGACCAGGAUCAAGAAAAGAAGAGGGAAAAGAAGAAGACCUACAAGAAGGCUAAGGGCGAGGCACACCUUGGCAAGGAGUGGAACUCGGAUUGUUCAUCGUCCGACUCCGACGACGAAGGACUCGCCGCCUCAGCCUUCAACAAAUCGUCCCUCUUCCCCAACGAGCAUCACACAUGCCUAAUGGCAAAAGAGAAGAAGGUAAGUACUCGAAAUAGUACUACAUAUGCUUCUUCAAGUGAUGAUGAAUCUAGUGAUGAUGAAAUAGACUAUCCAUAUUUAUUCAAAGGAUUAGAUAGAACUAAAAUUGAUAAGAUCAAUGAAUUGAUUGAUGCUUUGAAUGAGAAGAAUAGACUUUUAGAAAAGCAAGAAGAUCUUUUAUAUGAAGAGCAUGAUAAAUUUGUAAGUGCGCAAAAUUCUCUUGCUUUAGAAGUUAAAAGAAAUGAAAUGCUUUCAUGUGAAUUGUCUACAUGUCAUGAAUCCAUUUCUAGCUUAAAGAGUAUCAAUGAUGACUUGAAUGCUAAGUUAGAAAUAGCUAAUAAAUCAAUCUCUUGUGUAGACCAUGUUGUGAUUUGCAAUAGGUGUAAAGAUUUUAAUGUUGAUGCUUGUAGCGAACACCUAGUUUCCAUUUUAAAAUUAAAUGAUGAAGUGACUAGUCUUAAUGCUCAACUUAAGACUAGCAAAAGUGAAUUUGAUAAACUAAAAUUUGCAAGGGAUGCCUACACUAUUGGUAGACACCCCUCAAUUAAGGAUGGACUUGGCUUUAAGAGAGAAGACAAGAACUUAACAAGUCAUAAGGCUUCCAACUCCGCCAAGGAGAAAGGGAAGGCCCCUAUGGCUAAUAGUGCUAAAAAGAACCAUGCUUUCAUGUACCAUGAUAGGAGAUAUUCUAGGAAUGUUCAUAGGAGUUGUAAUGCUUAUGGUUCAAAUGCAAUGCUUGCUUCAAGUUCUUCCUAUGUGCAUGGUAGAGAGAUGUCUAGAGAAAAUGUCAUUCAUCAUGUUCCUAGAAAAAUUGUUAAUGAACCAUCUACAAUCUACCAUGCUUGCAAUGCUUCCUUUGCAAUUUGUAGAAAGGAUAGGAAGGUGAUUGCUAGGAAAUUAGGGGCAAAGUGCAAGGGAGAUAAAACUUGCAUUUGUGUCCCUAAAACCAUUGUUACUAACCUUGUAGGACCCAACAAGAGUUGGGUACCUAAAGCCCAAGCCUAAAUUGUCUUGCAGGUUUAUGCAUCCGGGGGCUCAAGCUGGAUUAUCGACAGCUGAUGCACAAACCACAUGACGGGGGAGAAGAAGAUGUUCACCUCCUACGUCAAGAACAAAGAUUCCCAAGAUUCAAUCAUAUUCGGUGACGGGAAUCAAGGCAAGGUUAAAGGUUUAGGAAAGAUUGCUAUUUCAUCCGAGCACUACAUUUCUAAUGUGUUUUUAGUUGAGUCGCUCGGGUAUAACUUGUUGUCUGUUAGUCAACUUUGUAAUAUGGGAUAUAAUUGCUUAUUCACUAAUGCAGAUGUGUCUGUCUUUAGAAGAAGUGAUGGUUCAUUAGCUUUUAAGGGUGUACUAGACGACAAACUUUAUUUAGUUGAUUUUGCAAAAGAGGAGACCGGUCUAGAUGCAUGCUUAAUUGCUAAGACUAGCAUGGGCUGGUUGUGGCAUCGUCGUUUAGCACAUGUGGGGAUGAAGAACCUUCACAAGCUUCUAAAGGGAGAACAUGUUUUAGGUCUAACAAAUGUGACUUUCGAAAAAGAUAGACCUUGUGCAGCGUGUCAAGCAGGUAAACAAGUGGGAAAUGCUCAUCACAGCAAGAACGUGAUGACCACAUCAAGACCCCUGGAGCUGCUACAUAUGGACCUCUUUGGACCCGUCGCCUACCUUAGCAUCGGGGGAAGUAAGUAUGGUUUAGUAAUUGUUGAUGAUUUUUCCCGCUUCAUUUGGGUAUUCUUUUUGCAGGAUAAAUCUGAAACCCAAGGGACCCUCAAGCGCUUCCUAAGGAGAGCUCAAAAUGAGUUUGAGCUCAAGGUGAAGAAGAUAAGGAGCGACAAUGGGUCCGAGUUCAAGAAUCUUCAAGUGGAGGAGUUCCUUGAGGAUGAAGGAAUCAAGCACGAGUUCUCCGCUCCCUACACACCACAGCAAAAUGGUGUAGUAGAGAGGAAGAACAGGACACUCAUUGACAUGGCGAGGACGAUGCUUGGAGAGUUCAAGACCCCCGAGCGAUUUUGGUCGGAAGCCGUGAACACGGCUUGCCAUGCCAUAAACCGGGUCUACCUUCAUCGCCUCCUCAAGAAGACUUCGUAUGAGCUUCUAACCGGUAACAAACCCAAUGUUUCAUACUUUCGUGUAUUUGGGAGUAAAUGCUACAUUCUAGUGAAGAAAGGUAGGAAUUCUAAAUUUGCUCCCAAAGCUGUAGAAGGGUUUUUGUUAGGUUAUGACUCAAAUACAAAGGCGUAUAGAGUCUUCAACAAAUCAUCGGGUUUGGUUGAGGUCUCUAGCGACGUUGUAUUUGAUGAGACUAAUGGCUCUCCAAGAGAGCAAGUUGUUGAUCUUGAUGAUGUAGAUGAAGAAGAUGUUCCAACGGCCGCCAUACACACCAUGGAAAUUGGAGAUGUGCGACCAUAGGAACAAAAGGAGCAAGAUCAACCUUCUUCCUCAAUAAUGGUGCAACCCCCAACUCAAGACGAUGAACAGGUUCAUCAAGAAGAGGCAUGUGAUCAAAGGGGAGCACAAGAUAAUGAUGUUAUGGAGGAAGAAGCACCACAGGCCCCUCCAACUCAAGUUCGAGCGAUGAUUCAAAGGAAUCAUCCCGUCGACCAAAUAUUGGGUGAUAUUAGCAAGGGAGUAACUACUCGCUCUAGAUUAGUUAAUUUUUGUGAGCAUUACUCUUUCGUCUCCUCUAUUGAGCCUUUCAGGGUAGAAGAAGCCUUGCUAGAUCCGGACUGGGUGUUGGCCAUGCAGGAGGAGCUCAACAAUUUGAAGAGAAAUGAAGUUUGGACACUGGUGCCACGUCCCAAGCAAAACGUUGUGGGAACCAAGUGGGUGUUCCGCAACAAACAGAACGAGCACGGGGUGGUGACAAGGAACAAAGCACGACUUGUGGCAAAAGGUUAUGCCCAAGUCGCAGAUUUGGACUUUGAGGAGACAUUUGCUCCUGUGGCUAGGCUAGAAUCAAUUCACAUAUUGUUAGCCUAUGCCGCUCACCAUUCUUUCAGGUUGUUCCAAAUGGAUGUGAAGAGUGCUUUCCUCAACGGGCCAAUCAAGGAGGAGGUGUACGUGGAGCAACCCCCUGGCUUUGAGGAUGAAUGGUACCCCGACCACGUGUGUAAGCUCUCUAAGGCGCUCUAUGGACUUAAGCAAGCCCCAAGAGCAUGGUAUGAAUGCCUUAGAGACUUUUUAAUUGCUAAUGCUUUCAAGGUUGGGAAAGCCGAUCCGACUUUAUUCACUAAGACCUGUGAUGGUGACUUAUUUGUGUGCCAAAUUUAUGUCGAUGACAUAAUAUUUGGUUCUACUAACCAAAAGUCUUGUGAAGAGUUUAGCAGGGUGAUGUCUCAAAAGUUUGAGAUGUCGAUGAUGGGCGAGUUGAACUACUUCCUUGGGUUCCAAGUGAAGCAACUCAAGGAUGGCACUUUCAUUUCCCAAAUGAAGUAUACGCAAGACUUGAUCAAGCGGUUUGGGAUGAAGGAUGCCAAGCCCGCAAAGACUCCAAUGGGAACUGACGGACACGUCGACCUCAACAAAGGAGGUAAGUCUAUUGAUCAAAAAGCAUACCGGUCUAUGAUAGGUUCCUUGCUUUACUUAUGUGCUAGUAGACCGGAUAUUAUGCUUAGUGUAUGCAUGUGUGCUAGAUUUCAAUCUGAUCCAAGGGAGUGUCACUUAGUGGUCGUGAAGCGAAUUCUUAGAUAUUUAGUCGCUACGCCUUGCUUCGGGAUCUGGUAUCCAAAGGGGUCUACCUUUGACUUGAUUGGAUAUUCAGACUCUGACUAUGCUGGAUGUAAGGUCGAUAGGAAGAGUACAUCGGGGACGUGCCAAUUCUUAGGAAGGUCCCUGGUGUCAUGGAGUUCGAAGAAACAAACUUCUGUUGCCCUAUCCACCGCUGAGGCCGAGUACGUUGCCGCAGGACAGUGUUGCGUGCAACUACUUUGGAUGAGGCAAACCCUCAGGGACUUUGGCUACAAUCUGAGCAAAGUCCCACUCCUAUGUGAUAAUGAGAGUGCUAUCCGCAUGGCGGAUAAUCCUGUUGAACACAGCCGCACAAAGCACAUAGACAUCCGGCAUCACUUUUUGAGAGACCACCAGCAAAAGGGAGAUAUCGAAGUGUUUUAUGUUAGCACCGAGAACCAGCUAGCCGAUAUCUUUACCAAGCCUCUAGAUGAGAAGACCUUUUGCAGGUUGCGUAGUGAGCUAAAUGUCUUAGAUUCGCGGAACCUGGAUUGAUGUGUAGCAUACAUGUGUCUUAUGCUUUGAUCAUGUUCCUUUAUGCAUAUUGUUGUUUAUUUAUGGUGCUCCCCGGACCUCACAAGUCCAUUUGCAAGUGAUGCACAUAUUUAGGGGGAGAUGUGCUACAACUUGACUCUUUGAGACUAACCAUGUGCGUGAGUGUUCUUAAGAUUAGUCUCAAAGAUGGAUUGAAAGGGAAAGGUGGACUUGGACCAUGAAAGACUUCCACUGCACUCCGAUGAGAGGGUAACUUACUCCAAGUUCAUCUCCAUGUCUCUUAUUGCCUUUUGCUCUUAAUUGACAAUUUUGGUGAGGCAAUGGGGUUUGAGGGCCAAGAUUGGUCCCGUUUUGGUGCUUGAUGCCAAAGGGGGAGAAAAUAAGGCCAAAGCAAGAAAUGGAUCAGCUACCACUUGAGAAUUUUGAAAAUAGAAGAGUAGAGUUUUGUUUUGUCAAAAUACUCUUAUUGUCUCUUAGUGCUAAAAGUCUGUCUGUCUCUUAGUGCUAAAAGUCUGUCUCUUGUGGGGAGAAUGUUUGAUUAUGGCAAAAGGGGGAGUUUUUGAAUCUUUGAUCAAUUUCUCUCGGAAUACCUCUCUUUAUGUCUCUUCAAGUGAAUUUGACUUAGAGAUAGAAAAUUGAGUUUGAUUUGUAAAAACAAACCAAGUGGUGGCAAAGAAUGAUCCAAAUAAACCAAAUUUGAAUCAAAAUCAUUUCUUGUUUGAAAUUGCAUUGAUACUGCACUUCUUUUAGUUGCUUUAUAUUGUGUUGGCAUAAAUCACCAAAAAGGGGGAGAUUGAAAGGGAAAUGUGCCCUUGGGCCAUUUCUAAGUAUUUUGGUGAUUUAGUGUCCAACACAAGUGCUUAAGUGUUAAACUAUGCCAAAUGGUGGACAAAGUGCAAAUCAAUACAAAGGUAUGAUUCUAGACUUAGUACAUUGGUUUUUGUGUACUAACAUAUUUGUCUAAGUGCUAGAAUCAGAGAAAAGACAAUUGGAAAAGACUUGGCUCGAGCAGCCAAGACUCUGCUCAGUCUGGGUGCACCGGACAGUGUCCGGUGCGCCAGGCUGGCUCUGGUGAAAAGGCCGCUCUCGGGAUUUCAUCGGUGGCGUACGACUAAAAUUCACCGGACUGUCCGGUGAGCCAACGGUCGGCCGCGCAAUCCGCGCGUGACGCGUGGCCGGGCCAACGGUCAGAAGGGGGCACCGGACAGUGUCCGGUGCGCCAAUGGCUCCAAGUCUCCAACGGUCGGCUGCGCUAGAAUAGGAAAGAAAUCCGCACCGGACAGUGUCCGGUGGUGCACCGGACUGUCCGGUGCGCCAGUCGACAGAAGGCAAGAAUUGCCUUCCUGGAAUGCUCUAAACGGCUCCUAGCUGCCUUGGGGCUAUAAAAGGGACCCCUAGGCGCAUGGAGGAAUAUACCAAGCAUCCUUUGAGCAUUCCUAAGCACCAAGACCUCAUUACCGCGCAUUCGAUUCUUUGUGAUAGCAACUAGAGCUCAAAUUGAGUAGAUAACUCUUCGAGUUAUGUUGAGAGCUCGUGUUGUGACUUGAGUGCGUAUUGUUGCUCUGAUUUUGUGUCUUGUGUGUGUUGCUCAUCCCAACCUUACUUCCGUGCUUCUUUGUGAUAAUCAAAUUGUAAGGGCGAGAGGCUCCAAGUUGUGGAGAUUCCUCGCAAGCGGGAUAUAGUGAAACAAAGCAAAACACCGUGGUAUUCAAGUGGGUCUUUGGACCCCUUGAGAGGGGUUGAGUGCAACCCUCGUCCGUUGGACGCCACAACGUGGAGUAGGCAAGUGUUGGACUUGGCCGAACCACGGGAUAAACCACUGUGCCUCUCUGUGUUGAUCUCCUUGUGGUUAUUGUGUUUUGCAAGAACUCCUCUCUAGCCACUUGGCUUUAUUGUGCUAACUCCUAAUCAAGUUUUGUGGCAUUAAGUUUCAAGUUUUUACAGGAUCACCUAUUCACCCCCCCUCUAGGUGCUCUCAGGGGGGAAUGAGAAAGACAGUGCGGGGAGGGGGUAAUGGGAAUGGCAGAACACUGGCGGGAAUGGGAAUGGGAAUGAGCUUUGCGGGGAGGGGAGAAUGAGAAAGACAGUGCGGGAAUGGGAAUGGCAGAACACGGAAUGGCAGUCUACCCCUUUAGUUAAAUUUAAAAAUGUUUGAUCUUAAAAUAAUAAGAAUAGCUUUUUUUGGAUGGGUAGCUAGAGUAGAUUUCACCAUCUUUGGAGUUGGAGGCAAAAUCGCGUAGAAGGGCAAACACACUGUCAGCGAAGGUUGAAUCUAAAUCCCUUAUUUUCUAAAAGAAUUUAUUUGUAGUCAAAGUCUAAAGUAUUUGGUUUAUGACCACCUCAAAACAGGGGCAAAGCUAGCCUUCUUUAGAAUGCAAUGCAGGAAUUUUAGAAAAAAACAGAAAUCACAUAAAUCAGUUAUUUUCGCAAGUGUUGGACACCAAAUUUGACACCUGGACGCUCGAAUGGUCCGCGAUUAGACUAAUUAAGUCGAUAGUCUGGUGACCAAUUGUGGACAGUCCGUUGACCUAUGACAUACCGCGAACAGUUCGCCACCUCGAGAGAGAUUCCCUAAGGUCACGUUCCCCACGAGCAGGGAUCUAGGGAUCAUAAGUGUUUAAUUAAAAAAGGCACCAACACUGUUGGGGACUUGUUCUCAAAUGCUAUGAGUUAAGAACAAGGCAACAUAGAAAAUGUUAAUCGAUUAAGUCCUUCGUCCUUCGAAGUAUUAUUCCCCUUAGGAUAUAAUGCUUUUCGGACGAAGGUUAUGAAAUGCGUACCUUCAUAAAUACACUAUACAGUGACGAAGGAUGAAUUGUAAGAAAUAUAAAGGACAACAUAAACAAUUAUAUAUUAUUAUCAUGUAUAAACAGAAAUAACAUUGAAUUACAAAUGUACCUUCAACUUGGAGGAGAUGAAAGUAUAAGCGUGACGCAAAAGUGAAUGCCAAAUCAGCGUGAACAGUACGGGGGUACUGUUCACCUAUUUAUAGGCACAGGACACAGCCUAUGCAAAAUUACAUUUAUACCCUUUACAUUUGAUAAUAGUUCUACAGUAAUCUAUUGAGGUCUGAAUAGCCUUUUCAUCUUUAAGUCGGUUUCAUUUUGUUGCUACCACGCCGAAGCUUUCCUGCUCACACCUUCGGCGCUGUAUCAACCUUCGUAUUGUUCUGGUUUGCUGUGAUACCGACUUGAGUCCGAAGAUGCCUGUUCACACAUUAAACUCCAUAAAUACUGUUAAAUCCUGUUUUUGAGGACCUUCGUAAGCCGAAGGCCCCCAACAGUAGCACCUCGCAAUAUUAAUUUAUUUUAAAAUAAUAAAUUUAGAUUGCGACAUGGACGAAGGAUUUACGCCGAAGGUCCGAAAAAACACCUUCCCUUUGCUAGAAUAGCAACAUUCACUGACAAGCGGGGUCUUUCAAUUUUCAACGCAUUGGGCGUAUAAAUACGGUCAUACCGCAAACUCAUUUGGCACGCUCUCUGGCUAUCUGCUCCCGCUCACUCGAUUUUUAGCUCUUGUGCACUAAGAUUUGCUGAGUUCUUAGUUUUGAAGCUUCGGCUUUGAAAACAGUUUUUUAGCGUCUCCGAAGAUGUCUGAAGAUAAGAAGGCUGUUACCGAGAUGAAAUUGAGUCUCGACGAAGAGAAAAAUCUGGGGUUUCUUAUAGCAAUGUCGAAGACCAACACAGAAAAAAUCACCAAGGAGAUUCUAGAAGGUUUGUCUAAGGAUACUGGUGACAGCGACAGUUAUGAUGUGGACAGCGGCGGUGAAGACUCCGAAGAUCGUCCCUGGCGACCAAGCCAUUCAGUUUAUGGUAAAUCAACUAUCAAAGAGAAUCAUCUUGUCAACAUGAGAGGAAGAUAUUUCCGGGAUUUGUCCGUUGUGAGGGCCGAUGAAGGGGAGAAGACUUGUCCACACCCUGAAGAGAAUGAAGUCGUAGUGUUCCGAAGCUUUUUGAAAGCUGGGCUGCGAUUUCCCUUAAGCAGCUUCGUCGUGGAGGUGCUGAAAAUGUUUGAAGUCUAUCUUCAUCAACUCACCCCCAAAGCAAUUAUAAGGCUGAAUAUCUUCGUAUGGGCCGUGAGAAGCCAAGGUCUGGAACCUGAUGCGAAAAGCUUCUGCAACAUACACGAAUUAUCAUACGAGACAAAACCUUGGGGUAAGGAACAGUAUCACAAUAACUUUGGCUGCUACAAUUUUGUUUCUCGGUCUGGGUCAAGCUGUCCCGUGCCAACCUUUCGGAAGAGAUGGCCCGGCGACUGGAUGACAGAAUGGUUUUAUGUGAAAAAUGAUCUGAAAACACGAGAAGAUAUCAAAGGUAUAAUUAUGCGCCCUAUUUGGCAAAGCUUCGGCCUUCGGAGGCCGAAGGUUGAAAUGAAUGAAGCUGCCGAAGAAUGCCAGAGAGCCUUCAGUGUUAUCUGUUCUUUUAUUGGAACUAGAGAUUUAGUACAAGAGCAUAUUGCCUUCAGGGUAUGGCCGCUCGCGGAGAAGUGGGAAAUGCCGCAGGAAACCAUAAAAGAGGCCAACGAAAGUGGACUUAUCAGGCUAAAGUACACUUUUAAGUUCGGAGAUAAAUUCGUUGAGCCAGAUGAUGACUGGUUAAAAAGUAUUGAAAAUUUAAGUGAUGAACUUCUUGGGGCUUAUUCGAAGGCCGAAGAUACUGCAAUGUCAGCAGCCUUCGGAGGCCGAAAAAAGAAGAGGCUGAAUCGAGUAUUUGAUGCAAUCGGGUUUGUCUACCCUGACUAUUGCUAUCCCAUUCGAAGGCAGAAGAGAAAAAACACAACCUCUGCAAAAGAAGAAGCUGUAAUUGCUCCUAGCGAGCCAGAACCGAAAAGAAAGAAGAUAAAGGUCCUCACACAUCGGCCGCGCUAUAUUGAACCAGCUUCGGUGCUUGAGUUUACCGGAGAAACUUCUUCGGCCACCGAGGCUAAAAAGCCAACCAAACCAACCUUGCUGCCAGAAGUUGCAGAAAUGGCCGAAGCGCCAAAAAGGAUAGAAUUGGAAGAACCGAAGAUUUUGCUACCAGAAAUCGAAGAAAUGGCCGAAGCGCCAUCCACAGAAAAAAUGGAAGAAGUGAAAAAACCAACUGAAGAAAAAACAUCAGAAGUUGUGAGUCCUGCAGCAAAUGUUGAGACAGUAAAAAGUCAAAAAGUGCCAGCAGUGACUCCGAAAAGAAAGAGAAUGGCUAAUGUGCUAGAUGUACUGGAAACAAUCAAAUCUUCAAGCACACCUCCGAAGAAGGCUGCUGCCAUUCCUGAAACAACAACUGAAAUUUCUGAUACUAAAGCUCCAGAGCAAGAAACUGAAGCCGAAGCUGGUUCCUCAGAGCCCGCGAAGAUAAAAUCCUUGGAAACUGAGGAAGAAAAAAUAACAAAGCCAACUUUUGUUGAAGAAAUCGGUGUCAUUGCCCCCGAAGCAUCCUCCAAAGUCCGUGAUUAUAUUGUUCGUCAUGCUUCGGGGAAAAAACUAUCAGAAAAAGAAGAGCAAGAGGCCCAGCGCUACGCCCAAAAACUGAAGUAUCCAAAGGGGGCGUUAAUAUUCAAUGGUAGUGGAGAAGAAGACUUUUUGUAUUGUCUCCCUGACAGCAAGGAGAUUUCUGUCUGCCGGGAGAUGAGCAAGAGCUUCGGAUUCCCAACUUUAGAAGACGGGCUCUCGGUGCUGUCGAAGAACGAUCUGGCCGACAGCCUGGCCUAUAAUAGCUUAAAGGUGCGACAAAUGGGAUCCUUGUAUUUUUUGUUGAGACCAAAAUUUUUCGUUUGUUUAAAUCUAUUGACACACACAUAUUUCUCUUUGCAGGGCCUGAUACUUAGCAAUGCCCUCAGGGCACAGAAGGAUGCUGAAGACGAAGGGUGUGCUAUAGCCCUGAGCAACCUUCGUUCCGAAGUAAUUGAACUGAGGAACGAAGGCCUCGAAAAAGAUAAAAUAUUACACUCAUUGAUAAAUAAAAUAAAGGAAGACGAAGCUGCUUUUAAAGGUCAAGCUGAAGCUCAGAAGCGCGAAAUUGAAGAUCUUCGGAAACAACUGGCCAGAGCCAAGGAAGAACGCAUACUUGAAGAAACAAGGCGAGAACUCAGCGACCAAUGGGCAGAUCACUUAGAAGGAACUGUUGAAGAGCUUCGUUCGUCCAAGAAGAGAUGCUAUAACAAAUCUAUAGAGUGUGUUAAGAAGUUAAAAGCUAGCUUCGCCAAAGUCGGCGCAUUCUCAAGCGAAGAGAACUUCACAAGAGGCAAUCCCGAAGGUCCCAUCGAAUGGAUCGACCACGAAGCUGAGGCCUUCGAGGAAAUUUUAAAUAGCCGUGGAGAUAUAUGUGCUUUCUCGGGUGCCAGAGGGAUUGCCACCAUUUUAGAGAAAAAGGGCUGCGAACACGUAAAGAUUCUAGCGCAAUCCGAAGCUGCUUUGUCCUUCGAAGAUGCAAGGGAUCCUUCGGCCGAAGCUAGCAUGGUUGGUGGAAAAUUUUUCACCGAUAUCUGGGAUAAUGGUGGCCGAGAAAUGGCCCGAGAAAUUAUUCGAAAAAGUGAAAAGGGCAUCCACGACGCUAGAGAAGUAGCUGAGACUGCUGAGAAGAGCGCAGAGCCCGAAGGGCAAUUAGGUAUUAACUAAUAGCUUUUAUUGUGUUGUAAUUUUUGGUUUUAAGCUUCGUCUGCCAUUUGUAAUAGCAAUGUAGCCGUAUCCUGUCCUACUUCAGAUCCUGCUAAAGCGUCUCCGGGCCCUCAGCCGAAAGGAGACGACGAAAUUAAAAAGAUGGCUGAAGCCAUUAUGGACGAAGUCGUCAAUCGGCUCCUGAAUGAGGCUGCAGAAGUUGUUCUGAGAGAAGAUUAAAUACUAUUGUAAAUUAAACUUCUGAAAUAUAAUAUGUGUGACAUCUUGUAGCCCUGAAUGUAAUAUACCUGCUUUUAUUAUUUAAUUCUUUACGAUGCAUGAAAUUUUACAUACGUACCGUUUUUGAGUCUUUGACGAAAAAACACCUUCCCUUCUUUUCAUGCUUCGUGAAGAAUAAUUUCCAUUUGUCACCACAAUAUUCGUGGUGCUCUGAUGAAUAAUAUCCAAGCUUCGUGAAAAUGUUCUCCGAAGCUACUUAGCAUGAUUUUCCCCUUUCAAAACAUUCUUCCGAAGAUCGAUGUCAUGUCCCCUUCUUGUGCCAUAUGCAGCAUGAUGUAUGAUGCUUAUGCUAUGCGAAAUGAUGCGAUGAUGUUAUGCUGUGUGAGAUGUUGUUUAUUCCGAAGAUACACACAUUCCUGCGACAAAACACAUAAUCUUUUGAAUCAGCAUUGUCAUUUUACUAUAAGCCUCCCUUAGGAGCUUCUUCGCCUUUUACUUCAGCGGAAUCAGCGUUUAUUUUUUGCUGUAAGCCUCCCUUAGGAGCUUCUUCGCCUUUUACUUUCAGCGGUAUUCGCGUUGACUUUUCGCGCUUCGCCUUUUACUUAGGCGGUAUCAGCGUUGGCUUUUCGCUGUAUGCUCUGCAUUCCCUUUGGAACGACUUUGGAGCAGAAAACUUACACUGCGCUCCCUUUGGAACGACUUUUUUGUGACUUCGGCAAACUUACUCUGCGUUCCUUAGAACGACUUUUUGUUGCUUCGAAGAAUUUUCGAUAGUUCGAAGGUCCUCUUUGUUAUCACAAGUCUUUCGACAAUUUAAGCCUGUGAAGAAAAUAUAUUUUCCUUGUGGGAAUCAACGAAACUAUUUACAUGAAACCUGAACAAUGUCCUUUAUUACAGAAAAUAAAACUGAAUGAAAAAGAUUGCUAUUAAGGUAGGAUAUUUGUCAAUAGAUGUGCUUUGACUCUGGCACAGUGCUGUUGACUGUGCGAGCUUCGGACUGUUCUCUGAAGUCCCUUUGGUGUGGAGCAUAUUGGCUCCCUUCUGGCUGCUGGCCUUGUUGCAGCGGUGGUGGAGGCGGAGGUUGUUGCCAGGAAGCCUAAGGUUGACUCGCCGAAGCAACAGAAACUGCAGGGUGAUUGCCUACAUACUCUGGGAUGUAAGGCGAAUGAUACGAAGCAGUGUGCAUGACCUGCUUCGGCUGAGCCUGUUGUGCUGCCGCUUCGGCUAUUUCUUUUUGCUUCUGGAUGGUAACAUGGCACAUCCUGGUGGUAUGACCUUUGUUCUCACCACAGAAUAAGCAAAAGAUUCUUCUCGGUUGAUCGCCAAAUCUUCCUCCGAAGCCCCUGGCGCCUCUGCCUCUUGGAGCUGGUGGUCGGAAGGAGCCUUGCUGUUGCCCCGAAGCCUGUGAGGAACAUUGUGGCCUUUGCUGUUGGCUCCCUCUAUCAUCAUUUUGUGUAGAGUUAUGAAUUGAUCUAACGUGCCUCGGGUAGAACCUCCCUCCGAAGCCCCUGGUCAUUUCAGAAAACCUGAAAGCCUCCUCCCUUCUUUGGCGAAAAUCAUUAUCGGCCCGAAUGUACUCGUCCAUCUUCUGGAGCGGCUUCUCCAAAGUUUGAGGAGGCUUCCUAGCGAAGUACUGAGCUGACGGUCCUGGCCGAAGCCCCUUGAUCAUGGCCUCAAUGACAAUUUCAUUGGGCACCGUUGGUGCCUGUGCCCUCAAACGCAAGAACCUCCGGACAUACGCCUGAAGGUAUUCUUCGUGAUCCUGGGUGCACUGGAACAGAGCUUGAGCAGUAACAGGCUUCGUCUGAAACCCUUGGAAGCUAGUUAACAACAAGUCCUUCAGCUUCUGCCAUGAAGUGAUCGUUCCUGGUCGAAGGGAGGAAUACCAGGUUUGAGCAACACUCCUGACAGCCAUAACAAAAGAUUUGGCCAUGACUGCAGCAUUGCCACCAUACGAAGAUACUGUUGCUUCGUAGCUCGUCAAAAACUGCUUCGGGUCUGAGUGGCCAUCGAAUACGGGAAGUUGAGGCGGCUUGUAGGACGGAGGCCAAGGUGUAGCCUGCAGCUCAGCGGACAGAGGAGAAGCAUCAUCAAAAACAAAAUUCCCAUGAUGGAAGUUGUCAUACCAGUCAUCUUCGUUGGGAAAACCCUCCUGAUGAAGGUCUUGGUGCUGAGGCCUUCGGUGUUGCUCAUCCUGGGCAAGAUGACGAACUUCUUCAGAGGCUUCGUCUAUCUGCCUCUGCAGUUCAGCUAGCCUGGCCAUCUUUUCUUUCUUCCUCUGCACUUGUUGAUGAAGCAUCUCCAUAUCUCUGAUUUCUUGAUCUAUCUCGUCCUCUGGUGGUGUCGGGCUGACAGCCUUCCUUUUCUGGCUUCGGGCCUCCCGAAGGGAGACUGUCUCCUGAUUGUGGUCCAGCGGUUGCAGAGCUGCAGCCCCAGUCGCUGAAGCUUUCUUCGGCGCCAUAACGAAGGUUUAUGAUCGCCGAAGGUGUUCAAAAAACUCAAAGAGUGGAAGUGAGUUCACCGGAGGUGGGCACCAAUGUUGGGGACUUGUUCUCAAAUGCUAUGAGUUAAGAACAAGGCAACAUAGAAAAUGUUAAUCGAUUAAGUCCUUCGUCCUUCGAAGUAUUAUUCCCCUUAGGAUAUAAUGCUUUUCGGACGAAGGUUAUGAAAUGCGUACCUUCAUAAAUACACUAUACAGUGACGAAGGAUGAAUUGUAAGAAAUAUAAAGGACAACAUAAACAAUUAUAUAUUAUUAUCAUGUAUAAACAGAAAUAACAUUGAAUUACAAAUGUACCUUCAACUUGAAGGAGAUGAAAGUACAAGCGUGACGCAAAAGUGAAUGCCAAAUCAGCGUGAACAGUACGGGGGUACUGUUCACCUAUUUAUAGGCACAGGACACAGCCUAUGCAAAAUUACAUUUAUACCCUUUACAUUUGAUAAUAGUUCUACAGUAAUCUAUUGAGGUCUGAAUAGCCUUUUCAUCUUUAAGUCGGUUUCAUUUUGUUGCUACCACGCCGAAGCUUUCCUGCUCACACCUUCGGCGCUGUAUCAACCUUCGUAUUGUUCUGGUUUGCUGUGAUACCGACUUGAGUCCGAAGAUGCCUGUUCACACAUUAAACUCCAGAAAUACUGUUAAAUCCUGUUUUUGAGGACCUUCGUAAGCCGAAGGCCCCCAACAAACACAAUUUUUUGUGACUCCAUUGGGAACGAAAGAUCAGAUCCAUCAAAUUAGAUCUAUUAGGUUAGAUUUAUUAGAUCAGCCGCAAUGGUCGAUCCUAAAGAUAACACUGAUGUUUCCCUAAGCAACAUCCUUAAGCCAACUUUUGGGAGUCUAUUGACCAAUUGACCAUCAGGAGUUUAAAGACUAUAUGAAGAAGCUAGAGAGGUGGUACCUCUCGCUCUUUAGAAUAAAUCGCCACUAGAAGGUCGUCUAGAAAAGGGAAGUAAACUUCGCUUCCUUGACAGCCUCGCUAUAGCCCCACUAUAAGUAAGACCAUGUCAAUAUUCAAUCUAUUAAGAAUUAUUUUGAUGACCGAAUUGAACUUAUGGUGGAGUGUCUUGAUAAGAUAGAGCGUGCAAUAGAAAAAAAUCAUAUGUCUAAAUUUCCGUCGUAUAAAUUGGGCACUAAAACAGCCACGCCAAACACAUCGAUAACAUAUGGGUUUUCUCAGUCCGAACAAUAUUAUGGUAAUGUCAAUGACCUCAUAUCCAGGGCAAACACUGCCGCCAUCUUCACUGUAUGGUAGGUCGACUCUGAGCAUGUCCGGACAAUCCGAGCACGACCUCGGAGUGUUCGACCUCUGUUGAACCACCCAACACUUUCUGCCAGACUGUCCGAGCCACAUCGAGCCUGCCACAUGGCUCGAAGGUGAUGCCUAGCACAACCGGACAACCCGGGUAUAACCAGCACAACCGGACAACCCGAGUAUAACCUCGGACCAUCCGGUCCCUCCCCGGUAUAUGCUGGACAGUCCAAAGCCACACCGAGCCGUCCACAUGACUCACAGGUGAUGCCUGAGAUAACCGGACAAUUCAAGCAUAAUCCUGGACCGUUCCGUACCUUCAGGGAUCGUCUGGCCACAUAGAGCAGACUGUUCGGGAACAUCUACGCAGAACAAGAUGCUGCCCACAACACACAAUUUUUCCCACCCAUCUUAGCAGCACUACUCUCUCUCACCUACAAUACAUCAAAGCCACAACAUUCCACCACCUAUGCAUGAGUCAAUAUUUUUUGGUCCCUUGGGAGCCAGAGAAAUUCAACCUAAUAGUGGGAUGCAUUGCCUGUAUUCCUCAGGGGCCUAUAUCGGAUGCCACCUUUAAUAGUUCUAGUGCAAAAGGUCGACAUGAGGAUAACGAGACACCCGAGCCCCAUGUUUCAAGGACCGAUGGGUUACCAUCGACCACUAUAGAUAAAGUUCAGGAAGAAAUAACCGAACUAUUUCAAGAUAAAUUAGGUGUUAGUGUAUCUGGUCCAGGACAAUCGUCCCAUACCCUCCGGGGACUAUUGUGCCGAAUUUACCCAAAUUCUCAGGUAAAGGCAGUAGAAGCACUCAUGAGCACAUGUGUCAAUUCCUAGCACAAUUAGGGGACUUGACCGACACAGAAGCUUGUCGUGUUCACAUGUUCUCAUUACCCCUUACUCGCACUUCAUUCGCUUGGUAUGAUACCUUGCCUCCUAACUCGAUGAGUUCCUAGGAUGAUCUAGAGCAUAAGUUUCAUGAACACUUUUUCUCUCGGGAUUACGAGUUAGAUUUAGCUGAUAUGGCAUUGCUCCAGUAAGGGGAUUAUCAAUCGAUUAAUGAUUAUAUCCGGAGGUUCCAGAAUACUAGAAACUGACGUUUUCAAAUCUAGGGCGUAUAUAAGCAACUAGCAGGGUUGGCUUUCAAUGGGAUGCGUCCAUACUUGAAAGAAAAAUUAUAUGGCACCCAAUUCUAUUCUCUAACUCAGUUGCAUCAGCGGACUUUGGCUUGCAAAAGCCGAAGCAAAGAACUAUCUCGUCAUCAUGACGUUAGUAGCUCAGAUAACGAGUCGAAAGAGUUACAUGUCACUGAGCUUAUUUGGCCUAUUAAGGCCAAACUUUUCGCUUGCUCUUCCCUGCAGUCAGUUCAAAGGAAUCGACAAGGAGAAGCUAAGUUCACAUUUAAUUUAGCUAAUUGUGACAAGAUAUUUGAUGAAUUAUUUAAAAGCAGCACCAUUAAAUUGUUUCACAAUUCCGUCGAUAGAGGAAUUGAAACGACGUGCUUGGCAUGGCUCCUUUUCUUAUGCCAGUAAUAAUUGUAAUAUCUUUCAUCGACAAAUACAAUCGAAUAUAAAUGAAUGCCAAUUGAGAUUUCUAGAAAAGUAGAUUGACAUGCAACCCUUCCCUAUCAACAUAGUGGAUUUGGUGGGUAAUAAAGUCUUGGUUGGGUCAGAUGUGGCCGAUAAAGAUGAAGGCAAGAACAAUGUCAUUGGCGAUCCUCGCACGCCAAGUCAGUUACAAGGAGUGGUUACUUGAAAGGCUCUGAACAAGAGAAUGACUAAUAAGACUCAAGGCCCUAGAGGGCAAACACGACCGGAUACCCGAUUACGAUCACAUGUCUUGUGUACGCAGGACGGUCCGGGACCUAAGGCCGAUCAGUCUAAGAAUGACCAAAAGCAACAACGACCUCAGACCUUUAGACCAUGACAUCUAGAAGAAGGUAUAUGCAAGCAAAAUACAUCUAAAGCAUCUGACUGACUCGUUAGUGCUAGCCCUUCUUUUGAACAACUUCUUUCUAAGUAUAUGAAUAAGAAGGUCGUUUCACACAAUUGAUCGACAAAACGAUCAAUAUCAUCCACAACGAGGAAGCAAUCCAUGCAAGGGCAAAAGCCGAAUAAAUCGGCCCAGGAAGUGGUGCAACCAAUGUCGCCUACUCAUCCGCUCUAGGAAUGUCGUGUUACUUUCCACCAGUCUACUCAUCGAUGAUGUUUUAUCCUGCUAACAUGUGAAAAAGUAUGACGAUGAAUCCGUAUUACACAGGGGCGGACGCAGAGGGAGGCAAAGUGGGUCAUAGCCACCUCAAUUUUUAUGAUAUUUUAUAUAUCAUGACGUGCAGUCUCUUUGCAACCCCAGCCACAUUAAUUAAUAGACUCCACCGACGAGCGACGAGUGAUGGUACCGGCCGCCGGCCCAGGCCAACCCAAGUGGAAAAGGCCGACGACUCCCGGACGUCUCAUCCUCACCGGACGCCACCAACCCCCGCAAUCUCCAGACGUACGAGCCGCCUAUUUAAAGCCCUCAGUCUGCCACUCUCAUGGCAACGCAAGCAGAAGCUACAAUCCUAAAACCAUCUGCUUCAGCCUUCAGCUAGCCCCAAGUUUAGUCGGCCGAUCGAUCACUGAAGUAGUAAUGGCCUCCGCCAACAGCUGGACCCUCGAGAUCGCGUCGCCGGUGGCUCCGCAGCGCCUGUUCCGCGCCGCCGUGAUGGACUGGCACACCCUGGCGCCCAAGGUCGCCUCCCACGUCGUCGCCAGCGCGCAGCCCGUGGAGGGCGACGGCGGCGUUGGCAGCGUCAGGCAGUUCAACUUCACCUCAGGUAAGUGCCCAGCCCAGGCCAGCAUGCUCUCUCUCUCUUUCGCCUGAUCGAUCAAACAGCUAAGCGCACGACGUCGUGCGGUCGCUCUUGCAGUCAUGCCGUUCAGCUUCAUGAAGGAGAGGCUCGAGUUCCUGGACGCGGACAAGUGCGAGUGCAAGAACACGCUCAUCGAGGGCGGCGGCAUCGGCGUCGCCAUCGAAACGGCGACGUCGCACAUCAAGGUGGAGCCCGCGGCCGGCGGCGGGAGCGUGGUGAAGGUCGAAUCCACUUACAAGCUGCUGCCGGGCGUGGAGGUGAAGGACGAGAUCGCCAAGGCCAAGGAGUCCGUCACCGCCAUCUUCAAGGGUGCCGAGGCCUACCUCGUCGCCAACCCCGACGCCUACAACUAAACCAUUGGACUGGGAUGAGCUUCAUUUCCCUUCCGUCUUGUUUGGAUAUACAAGGGUAUUGUGUACGGAGAUUGGGUUUUCU